rnacentral:rRNA from 1 species
GACAGAGGGUGCAAACGUUUGUUCGGAAUUACUGGGCGUAAAGCGCGCGUAGGCGGCUUUGUAAGUUAGAGGUGAAAGCCCGGGGCUCAACCCCGGAAUUGCCUUUAAGACUGCAUCGCUUGAAUCCGGGAGAGGUGAGUGGAAUUCCGAGUGUAGAGGUGAAAUUCGUAGAUAUUCGGAAGAACACCAGUGGCGAAGGCGGCUCACUGGACCGGCAUUGACGCUGAGGUGCGAAAGCGUGGGGAGCAAACAGG